AGUGAACGCUGGCGGUAGGCCUAACACAUGCAAGUCGAACGGCAGCACAGGAGAGCUUGCUCUCUAGGUUGCGAGUGGCGGGCGGGUGAGGCAUACAUCUGAAUCUGCCCAGUCGUGGGGGAUAACGUAGGGAAACUUACGCUAAUACCGCAUACGACCUUCGCGUGAAAGUGGGGGAUCGCAAGACCUCUCGCGAUUGGAUGAGCCGAUGUCGGAUUAGCUAGUUAGCGGGGUAAUGGCCCACCAAGGCGACGAUCCGUAGCUGGUCUGAGAGGAUGAUCAGCCACACUGGAACUGAGACACGGUCCAGACUCCUACGGGAGGCAGCAGUGGGGAAUAUUGGACAAUGGGCGCAAGCCUGAUCCAGCCAUACCGCGUGGGUGAAGAAGGCCUUCGGGUUGUAAAGCCCUGUUGUUGGGAAAGAAAUCUUUCAGGCGAAUACCCUGGGAGGAUGACGGUACCCAAAGAAUAAGCACCGGCUAACUUCGUG
rnacentral:rRNA from 1 species